rnacentral:rRNA from 1 species
AUAGAGACUCAGAGCUGCAUAUCAAUAAGCGGAGGAAAAGAAACUAACAAGGAUUCCCCUAGUAACGGCGAGUGAAGCGGGAAGAGCUCAAAUUUGAAAUCUUCAAGGUUUUCCCUUGACGAAUUGUAGUUUAAAGAAGUGUUUUCUGUUAGAGAGUUUGGUAAAAGUUCUUUGGAAUAGGACAUCAUAGAGGGUGAGAAUCCCGUAUUUGAUCACUUUUACUAGCUUUGUGAUACACUUUCAAAGAGUCGGAUUGUUUGGGAAUGCAGUCCAAAAUGGGUGGUAAAUUUCAUCUAAAGCUAAAUAUUGGCGAGAGACCGAUAGCGAACAAGUACCGUGAGGGAAAGAUGAAAAGAACCUUGAAAAGAGAGUUAAACAGUACGUGAAAUUGUCAAAAGGGAAGCGUUUGACACCAGUGUUGUUUUUCCGAAAAUCAAUUAAGAAUGUCCUGAUUUUGAAGUUUCAUGACCUUAAUAGCUUGUUUCUUAUUUUCUUGUAACUUUCUUAAUGCACUUUUCGGUUAACAAGUCAACAUCAAUUUCUUUUGUUGUAAAAGGGUAUGAGGAAGGUGGCUUUCUUUUCGGAGAAAGUGUUUAUAGCCUUGUGCCUCUGCAAUCGGAGAGAUUGAGGUCUGCAGCGUAGAUCCUUCGGGGUUAGAUACAUUUGUGCUAAGUUAUAGCUUUUCAUAGACAACUUGUUGACUAUGUUUAGUCUUGUAGCUUACUCGCUUACGCUAUUUUACCUACGCUUAGGAUGUUGAUAGUCACAGCGUGUAC